GCCAGUGUGGUGUCAUGGUUUGAACAUUGGACUGUGACUCUGGAGGCCAGGGUUCAAAUCCCUAUUUGGCC
rnacentral:tRNA from 1 species